CUCUUGCCUUCCACCUGCUGCUAUAUGAGGACACAGCAGCAAGGUGCCAUCUUGGAAGCAGAGAACAGCCCUCGCCAGACACCAAAAUUGGUGGCUUCAGAACCGUAAGAAGUAAAUUUUUGUUCUUUAUAAAUUACCCAGUCUGUGGUAUUUUCUUAUAGCAGCAUAAUUGGACUAAGAGAGCUAUUAUCCCUAAUCCCUCAUCAUUUCCCCUGUCACUAGACUACUAGUAAUCCACUUUCUAUCACUAUACAUUUUCCAACUCUAGACAUUUCAUAUAAACAGAAUCAUACAGAAUGUAGUCUUUUGUGACUGGCUUCAUUCAUGUGCUGUAGCGUGUUUUCAAGGUUUAUUCAUGCUGUAGUAUGUUUCAGCACUUCAUUUCUUUGUAUGACUAAUAUUCCAUUGUGUGUAUACAUCACACUUUGUUUAUCCAUCAUCUGUUGACGGACAUUUGUUUCCACUCUUUGGCUGUUAUAAAUCAUGUUGCUAUGAAUAACUGUAUACAAGUUUUUGUGUUAACAUGUAUUUUAAAAAAUUAUCUUGGGUAUAUACCUGGAAGUAGAAAUGCUGGGUCAAAUGGUAACUCUAUGUUUUAACUUUUUUUAGGAAUGGUCACACUGUUUUCCAAAGUGACUGCACCAUUUCAUAUUUCUACCAGCAACAUCAUCAUCUUCCUUUUACAGAUGAAGAAACUCAUAUCAUGGAAAAGCAUGGAUGAAAUCCUCUGACCACCCUACAUUUAAAGGACCUUUAAAGAGAAAGAACUGACAGUGUAAGUGGAAAAAGAGCAACUGGAAGUAGCAGGAGAAGGAAAAACCAUUAUCAUACAACUGGUGGGAAGAAGGAAUGUCAAAAACAUCAGUGUGAAAAUAAUUGCAGUAAAACGGUAAAUCCCAGUAAUUACUGAAAAGAGAUUUUUAGG
rnacentral:lncRNA from 1 species